rnacentral:rRNA from 1 species
UGACGAGUUUGAUCCUGGCUCAGAUUGAACGCUGGCGGUAUGCCUUACACAUGCAAGUCGAACGGUAGAGGAGCAAUCCUCGAGAGUGGCGAACGGGUGAGUAAUACAUCGGAACGUGCCCAGGUCUGGGGAUAACGUAGCGAAAGCUACGCUAAUACCGCAUACGACCCGAGGGUGAAAGCGGGGGACUCGCAAGAGCCUCGCGCGAUUGGAGCGGCCGAUGGC